rnacentral:rRNA from 1 species
GGGUUGUGAGGUUAAGCGACUAAGCGUACACGGUGGAUGCCCUGGCAGUCAGAGGCGAUGAAGGACGUGCUAAUCUGCGAUAAGCGUCGGUAAGGUGAUAUGAACCGUUAUAACCGGCGAUUUCCGAAUGGGGAAACCCAGUGUGAUUCGUCACACUAUCAUUAACUGAAUCCAUAGGUUAAUGAGGCGAACCGGGGGAACUGAAACAUCUAAGUACCCCGAGGAAAAGAAAUCAACCGAGAUUCCCCCAGUAGCGGCGAGCGAACGGGGAGCAGCCCAGAGCCUGAAUCAGUGUGUGUGUUAGUGGAAGCGUCUGGAAAGGCGCGCGAUACAGGGUGACAGCCCCGUACACAAAAAUGCACAUACUGUGAGCUCGAUGAGUAGGGCGGGACACGUGGUAUCCUGUCUGAAUAUGGGGGGACCAUCCUCCAAGGCUAAAUACUCCUGACUGACCGAUAGUGAACCAGUACCGUGAGGGAAAGGCGAAAAGAACCCCGGCGAGGGGAGUGAAAAAGAACCUGAAACCGUGUACGUACAAGCAGUGGGAGCACGCUUAGGCGUGUGACUGCGUACCUUUUGUAUAAUGGGUCAGCGACUUAUAUUCUGUAGCAAGGUUAACCGAAUAGGGGAGCCGAAGGGAAACCGAGUCUUAACUGGGCGUUAAGUUGCAGGGUAUAGACCCGAAACCCGGUGAUCUAGCCAUGGGCAGGUUGAAGGUUGGGUAACACUAACUGGAGGACCGAACCGACUAAUGUUGAAAAAUUAGCGGAUGACUUGUGGCUGGGGGUGAAAGGCCAAUCAAACCGGGAGAUAGCUGGUUCUCCCCGAAAGCUAUUUAGGUAGCGCCUCGUGAAUUCAUCUCCGGGGGUAGAGCACUGUUUCGGCAAGGGGGUCAUCCCGACUUACCAACCCGAUGCAAACUGCGAAUACCGGAGAAUGUUAUCACGGGAGACACACGGCGGGUGCUAACGUCCGUCGUGAAGAGGGAAACAACCCAGACCGCCAGCUAAGGUCCCAAAGUCAUGGUUAAGUGGGAAACGAUGUGGGAAGGCCCAGACAGCCAGGAUGUUGGCUUAGAAGCAGCCAUCAUUUAAAGAAAGCGUAAUAGCUCACUGGUCGAGUCGGCCUGCGCGGAAGAUGUAACGGGGCUAAACCAUGCACCGAAGCUGCGGCAGCGACGCUGAUGCGUUGUUGGGUAGGGGAGCGUUCUGUAAGCCUGUGAAGGUGUACUGUGAGGUAUGCUGGAGGUAUCAGAAGUGCGAAUGCUGACAUAAGUAACGAUAAAGCGGGUGAAAAGCCCGCUCGCCGGAAGACCAAGGGUUCCUGUCCAACGUUAAUCGGGGCAGGGUGAGUCGACCCCUAAGGCGAGGCCGAAAGGCGUAGUCGAUGGGAAACAGGUUAAUAUUCCUGUACUUGGUGUUACUGCGAAGGGGGGACGGAGAAGGCUAUGUUGGCCGGGCGACGGUUGUCCCGGUUUAAGCGUGUAGGCUGGUUUUCCAGGCAAAUCCGGAAAAUCAAGGCUGAGGCGUGAUGACGAGGCACUACGGUGCUGAAGCAACAAAUGCCCUGCUUCCAGGAAAAGCCUCUAAGCAUCAGGUAACAUCAAAUCGUACCCCAAACCGACACAGGUGGUCAGGUAGAGAAUACCAAGGCGCUUGAGAGAACUCGGGUGAAGGAACUAGGCAAAAUGGUGCCGUAACUUCGGGAGAAGGCACGCUGAUAUGUAGGUGAAGUCCCUCGCGGAUGGAGCUGAAAUCAGUCGAAGAUACCAGCUGGCUGCAACUGUUUAUUAAAAACACAGCACUGUGCAAACACGAAAGUGGACGUAUACGGUGUGACGCCUGCCCGGUGCCGGAAGGUUAAUUGAUGGGGUUAGCGCAAGCGAAGCUCUUGAUCGAAGCCCCGGUAAACGGCGGCCGUAACUAUAACGGUCCUAAGGUAGCGAAAUUCCUUGUCGGGUAAGUUCCGACCUGCACGAAUGGCGUAAUGAUGGCCAGGCUGUCUCCACCCGAGACUCAGUGAAAUUGAACUCGCUGUGAAGAUGCAGUGUACCCGCGGCAAGACGGAAAGACCCCGUGAACCUUUACUAUAGCUUGACACUGAACAUUGAGCCUUGAUGUGUAGGAUAGGUGGGAGGCUUUGAAGUGUGGACGCCAGUCUGCAUGGAGCCGACCUUGAAAUACCACCCUUUAAUGUUUGAUGUUCUAACGUUGACCCGUAAUCCGGGUUGCGGACAGUGUCUGGUGGGUAGUUUGACUGGGGCGGUCUCCUCCUAAAGAGUAACGGAGGAGCACGAAGGUUGGCUAAUCCUGGUCGGACAUCAGGAGGUUAGUGCAAUGGCAUAAGCCAGCUUGACUGCGAGCGUGACGGCGCGAGCAGGUGCGAAAGCAGGUCAUAGUGAUCCGGUGGUUCUGAAUGGAAGGGCCAUCGCUCAACGGAUAAAAGGUACUCCGGGGAUAACAGGCUGAUACCGCCCAAGAGUUCAUAUCGACGGCGGUGUUUGGCACCUCGAUGUCGGCUCAUCACAUCCUGGGGCUGAAGUAGGUCCCAAGGGUAUGGCUGUUCGCCAUUUAAAGUGGUACGCGAGCUGGGUUUAGAACGUCGUGAGACAGUUCGGUCCCUAUCUGCCGUGGGCGCUGGAGAACUGAGGGGGGCUGCUCCUAGUACGAGAGGACCGGAGUGGACGCAUCACUGGUGUUCGGGUUGUCAUGCCAAUGGCACUGCCCGGUAGCUAAAUGCGGAAGAGAUAAGUGCUGAAAGCAUCUAAGCACGAAACUUGCCCCGAGAUGAGUUCUCCCUGACUCCUUGAGAGUCCUGAAGGAACGUUGAAGACGACGACGUUGAUAGGCCGGGUGUGUAAGCGCAGCGAUGCGUUGAGCUAACCGGUACUAAUGAACCGUGAGGCUUAACCUUACAACGCCGAAGGUGUUU